rnacentral:rRNA from 1 species
CGUACCUACGGGACGCAGCAGUAGGGAAUUUUCGUCAAUGGGCGCAAGCCUGAACGAGCAAUGCCGCGUGAACGAGGAAGGUCUUCGGAUCGUAAAGUUCUGUUGAAGGGGAAAAAGAGCGGAGAGAGGAAAUGAACUCCGAUUGAUAUUACCCUUCGAGGAAGUCACGGCUAACUACGUGCCAGCAGCCGCGGUAAUACGUAGGUGGCGAGCGUUAUCCGGAAUGAUUGGGCGUAAAGGGUGCGUAGGCGGCCUGCUAAGUCUGGAGUGAAAGGUACCGUCUCAACCGGAACAGGCUCUGGAAA